UGGCCCGUCCCGGGUGUCAUCCUUGAGGGGGUUGACAAAAUGGCACACUGCGGGGAUCGGCACUUACCGGGAAUUCUGGCCGCACUGCAGGUGUGCCAUUUUGUCAACCCCCUCAAGGAUGACACCUGGGGCA